rnacentral:rRNA from 1 species
CAGGGAAUAUUAGAAAUGGACGAAAGUCUGAUCUAGCAACACCGCGUGUGCGAAGAAGGUCUUCGGGUCGUAAAGCACUUUUUGGAAGGAAUAGGAAGGAAUGUACUUCCAGAAUAAGUCUCGGCUAACUACGUGCCAGCAGCCGCGGUAACACGUAGGAGGCGAACGUUGUCCGGAUUUACUGGGCGUAAAGCGCGUGUAGGUGGUACUGUAAGUAGGGCGUGAAAGCUCCUGGCUCAACUGGGAGAGGCCGUUCUAAACUACAGAACUAGAGGAUGGUAGAGGGAGGUGGAAUUCCAGGUGUAGCGGUGGAAUGCGCAGAUAUCUGGAGGAACACCGGUGGCGAAGGCGGCCUCCUGGACCAUUCCUGACACUCAGACGCGAAAGCUAGGGUAGCAAACGG